AUGAAAAUCGGCAGAGCAUUUUCUGCUUAUGAGAAGUGCUGGGCAAGCAGAUGCAGGGUGAGUGGAAUGGAAGACUAGUCAAGAUGUUGGCGCUCAUCUCAGCAGUCUGCACACAAGUCCUCGGAGACCAAAGUGAUGCAUUCUGUGGUGGAGUUUGGAGCUAAAAGUUGGAAUAGAGCUGUGCAGAAGCUGCAGCAGCAUGUAAGGCAUCAGAAGUUGUCAAGAAAUGCAACACGACAUCACAGGGAAGAUGCAGCAGAAGAAAUCUGAAAACAGUACCAGUGUGUUUCUCCUUUAAGAUAGAAACACAAUAUCCACUUUUCUUGAUGCAUCUAGGCCGAAGGAAGUUGGAGACGACCGCAAAGGAGACCCGAUAAAGUGCAUUGUGUUCUGCAUCCUGAUUGGCUAAGGGACUGACCAACGUGAACAGUCUCCGCGCCUCGUCUCCUCUGCCAUACAGGCCAGCGCUGCCUGCUGUGGAGUGCUGGAUCAUUUCUCUCCUUGGUCUCCAUGUAGUGAGACACCCUGAACGACGGAGCCGACGGAGCAGCCUUAUUCUUUUCCCCCACCGUCAACCGGACAGUGGACGUGGUCCCCAGCCGUCUCUGGCCACCGCAGCCGCGUCCCCCAGGAGAAGAGCACUGGCACGAGCCUUCCCCACCCCCGACCCCUCCAAUUGAUUCAGCCGGCCCGCUCUCUGAGGCAAGAGUACCGCCACGGCGUCCACCUGGCUGCAGCUGCAGCGCUCCCCUAAGUGCAGUAUUGUAUAAUAAGGUAAAUAAAAAAGCUGACUACUUCACGGAUUUCACCUAUUGCGGGUUCUUUUUGGAACGUAACCCCCGCGAUAAACGAGGGUUCACUGUAUAUUCACCUAAACAUGGCUUGUCAUAUCAACGUCUGUGUAGAUUGGCAAUGUUGAAAUUGAAAUCCUUGUUUAGAAGCCUUAACAUUUAAAAUUCUGACACGUGAGCUUGACAAGUCUUUCUUGUACAGGAUCUAUAGUAUGCAUCAGUGGGCAUCGCAGAAUUGAAACAAAAAAUUAUGAAGCAAUCAGUGAACAUUGUUAAUAUGGGUUUCAGCGAAUAAUGUCUGAUGUUGGUCAAAUUCAGAUUCACAGUUACAUAGUGAGAGAUGUAUAGUGCUAUACACUGAAGUGUGUAAAUUGACAUGAAGACAUAAAGACAAACACUAAACAUUACCAUUACUAAAGAAAAUUAAUUUUGUCCCCAGUAUGAUUGAAUGUAGCACAAGUUUUAUAUCUGUAUACUUGCGUCGAUGUUGGGCAAAUGGAACAUUACAUCCUUAGCUGCUGUCUUUUGCAGGACAAAGACAAUGCACACAUUAAAUGUCAAACUUUCACAUGUCGAAGUAAUAGUAGCCAAUAAGAUGUACUGUACAGCGAGACAGUACAUUUUUAGCUGUUUUUAGUUAUUUGGAACCUCGGAUAUAUCACCAUUAGGUCGAUUGCAGUGCUUAGGAAGUCCAAGUAAAGAUAGUACUGACUUUUCCAUACAAAGAAAAUGUCCAUUCACAUACUUGUCUAUGUGUAUGGCAGUUAUGAAUAGCAUUUGUCAUGAAUGAAGUGACAUUUUAUCAUUAUGGACUAUGCAACUCAAGGCUCUCCCACCUUUUACUACUGUAAAGCAUUAACUGCUUUGUAAAUGUGUAUAUUUAAUGUUUACUUAUAUCAUGCCCCAAGGGGUAGGAAAUGAACCUGGGCCUUGUGAAGAGUUUUGAAAAAAUCACGUAAUUGCUUUGUCUGACUAAACAGUUUAAUAUGAGCACCACUGAGGGCAAGUCUACAGAGAGAGCCUGUUUAAUAUGCACCAUGGCAGCUUCACCUCUUGCAGCGCAAAGGAAAUAAUCAUCUCUGGCACUGUAGACAUAUAUGUGCUGCAAUCUAUGCUCCGUGGAUAUUGUAAUAUGUUUAUUACUAAGCAAGCAAAAUGCCUCUCAUUAUUUCACAAACAUCACCUAGAGAGUUUACCUUGAACACAGCACUGGGGUUGCAUUCAUCUCCACAACACUGGAUCAGGUUUCCUUGUAAUAAUAAAAAAAAAACAUUUCUCAUUGUAUUUUCUCUUGUGAGAUCUUUUCCUGUUAUUACCCAUAAUAUCAGGACCCUUUUUCAUUGAUCUUCUCUUAAUAUGCUCGGAUCUGCUGCUGUUAUAUUGAGCGAUUUUCUCAUCAGAUUCUCUUUUUCAGUUACGCCCAGAGCAAAACAAAUAAAAACAUAUUUUCAUCACUCUUGAACAAUACCAGAAAACCACGCAAAAAAUGAGCAAGAUGAACUUUAUUGAAAUAAAAGAAAAACAAUUCAGGUUAGCAAGAUAGUCAUCAAAACACUUUGCUAAGAUCUCCACAUGAGUUAUAAUAGUGCAACUUAAUGUCCACCAAAGACAUUACUUGCUUAGGUAACUUUCCCACUCCGCCACACUUGAAUCUUAUAUUUCUCCGUAAGGCCUUUACUUGUCACACAUACCAUAUACAUGUGAAUUUUUCUGUGGAGUUGUAUGUGAUUUAUUGUGAGUGACCCAGUCAACUAUUGACCCUUUACAUUUAACAUUUUUUCUUUCUUUUUCCUAUUUAUUUAUUUGCUUGCUGGAUUGCUUGCAUUUGGUUACUGAAAAAAUACACUGUCCUGAAUAAUUACUCUGUCAAGGAAUGUGGUGAAGUUAUGUGAUGAUCAAUUUAUGUUUGUCCGUGUACAACAUUACUCAAAAACAGAAUAAUGGGUUCGGAUGAAAUUUUCAGGGAAGGUCAGAAAUGAUACAAGGACCAAGUGAUUAGAUUUUGGCGGUGAUGCAGCUUAUAGCCUGGAUCCAUGGAUUUGUUAAAGAUUUCUGUAUCAUUGUGAGGUAGCGGCACAGCGUCACUGUAAAUAUUACACCAGUGAACACUACCUCAGCUGCCUGCUGACGAUCACAUGAUUGCAAUCCUACUACAAAUCUACCGCUCUGGACUUAUCUGGACUUAACCAUUAGAAAUGAUACAAGGAACAACUGAUUAAAUUGUGGAGGUGUUUCCGAGUCCCAUCAAUUCCCGCCUCCUGCUACAUAUUUCGGUAUAUAACAUUCACAUGCAGAACACACGCCUGUGCUCAGCCAAGUCAUUUUGUUUGUGGGUACAUCUGUAUUAAAUGGACACAUUCUGUGUUGCUGUGAUUUCUGAUCAUCAAUCACUAAUAAACACAAAACUACUGAUACUAAUAAAACUAAUAAAUACAAAAAUGUGCUGCAUUUCUGACAACGCCUUAUGGGGGGCUCAACAACCUUGGUGGAGUACUGCGCUCUCUAAGGGUUUUUCGAGGUAAACUUUUUUAGGAGCAACUACUCUUAUAGGACCUUUACAAAAUGAAGUCAGUAAAUUAUCCAAAGCAACACGGGGACUGUUGCUGAUUUCUUACGUCUUCUUAUUUUUUUGUAAGUUUAGAACACUGCAAGCAAAAUUCAAUUCAGCUCCUCUGUAUUGGGUAGGUACAUAAAUCUCAUACAGUAAUACAAAGACAAAUGAAACCAAAAGUGAUUUGUGAAGUGGGUGAACUGUCCAGAAUUUUAAAAUGCUUUACAGUUAGGCACCGACGACAAAACAGGCUUUGUUACAGGAGAACUUUUGGAAAAAUGUAGAAAACAAAAGUAGCACUACAUUUUGCGCAGCAUUUCAGCUUCUUUCAUUAAUUUCAUGCAUUGCACUCUGUAAAAACAAUGAAAUUUGCUUGAGUUUUGAAUAUGUCUGAUCAAGGUAAGGUCUGACUGCUCCAGUUUUGCCUCAGAUGCCAGUCACCAGUCCUACAUUUAGUAUUAACUUAUCAUUAUGUGACAACCACAAUGAUGUCACUGUGACAGGUGUUUCAGCUUCAGCAUUGUGACUCACUGAACAGCAGAUUCAGUAGAUUUUAGGACAUGUGAAGGCUUUCAGUACUGUAUUUAAGGAUUUAGCACUCACCUGAAGCACGAGGCUACCUAAUUUUACAUGAGCUGCUAGCUUCAAAAGACAGGAAAAGAACUGUGUUGUCUGCUGCAGCCUUGUAGUAGUGGUUGUGUAAUUUCAGACAGUCAUAGUUCCAGCACAGUGUUGGACUGGGGAUGGAUGGAUGGAUGGAUCGGUUGGAUGGAUUACAAAGACUUUUUGCAGAGACAUUUCUGGUCUUCAGAUGAUGAGCCAUCCCUAACCCUUAGAUGAAUAUGUGGUUCAAAAAUGACUCGGUGAGGUCAUUUUCUUGUAAUAUCUUUGGAAUGAAAAGUUAUUUCACAUUCCAGGUAUUCUUCAAAAACAUGCUUUUGAUAUCAUUCCAUUUAAAUUAAAGUUACCUUUUUAAGAAGCUA